AGGUGGAUGGGCCGAGCUCCCAGCCAACCCUGAAGGAGGCGCUGCUUCCAGGGGUUCUUAAAAAAGAAGAAAAUCAUACAACCAAAGGGGGAGGGGACAGGUAUGGCCCCCAAACCAUAGGUGGGAGCCAGCAGGUAGUGCCUGGGCCACAGCCUCUACUCUGGCUCCAGAGUCCUGCGUGUGUAAAUGUGUGUGUGUGU
rnacentral:lncRNA from 1 species